rnacentral:tRNA from 1 species
UAGCCUAAUGGUUAAGGCUAUGGGUCGCCAAUCCGGAGACGGCGGGUUCAAUUCCCGU